rnacentral:rRNA from 1 species
UACAGAGGGUGCGAGCGUUGUUCGGAAUCAUUGGGCGUAAAGGGCGUGUAGGCGGUUUGCUAAGUCAUGUGUGAAAUCCCUCGGCUCAACCGGGGAAGGACGCAUGAAACUGACAAGCUAGAGUACCAAAGAGGGGGGUGGAAUUCCCGGUGUAGCGGUGAAAUGCGUAGAUAUCGAGAGGAACACCAGUGGCGAAGGCGAGUCCCUGGACAACACCUGACACUGAGGCACGAAAGCUAGGGGAGCAAACAGG